CUGGCUCAGAUGAACGCUGGCGGCGUGCUUAACACAUGCAAGUCGAACGCGAAAGGGACUUCGGUCCUGAGUAAAGUGGCGCACGGGUGAGUAACGCGUGGAUAAUCUGCCCUUAUGAUCGGGAUAACAGUUGGAAACGGCUGCUAAUACCGGAUACGCUCAAAAUGAACUUUUUGAGGAAAGAUGGCCUCUGCUUGCAUGCUAUCACGUAAGGAUGAGUCCGCGUCCCAUUAGCUUGUUGGCGGGGUAACGGCCCACCAAGGCAACGAUGGGUAGCCGAUUUGAGAGGACUGAUCGGCCACACUGGAACUGAAACACGGUCCAGACUCCUACGGGAGGCAGCAGUGGGGAAUAUUGCGCAAUGGGCGAAAGCCUGACGCAGCGACGCCGCGUGAGGGAAUGAAGGUUUUCGGAUCGUAAACCUCUGUCAGAAGGGAAGAAACUACGUUGUGCUAAUCAGCAGCGUACUGACGGUACCUUCAAAGGAAGCACCGGCUAACUCCGUGCCAGCCGCCGC
rnacentral:rRNA from 1 species